GGCUUUGCAGACGCUGCCGCCGAGGAAAGUCCUGUACUACUAGCCAUGGUCAACCCUACCGUGUUCUUCGACAUUGCCAUCGACGGCGAGCCUUUGGGCUGCGUCUCCUUCGAGCUGUUUGCAGACAAGGUUCCAAAGACAGCAGAAAAUGUUCGUGCUCUGAGCACUGGAGAGAAAGGAUUUGGUUAUAAGGGUUCCUGCUUUCACAGAAUUAUUCCAGGGUUUAUGUGUCAGGGUGGUGACUUCACACGCCAUAAUGGCACUGGUGGCAAGUCCAUCUAUGGGGAGAAAUUUGAAGAUGAGAACUUCAUCCUAAAGCAUACAGGUCCUGGCAUCUUGUCCAUGGCAAAUGCUGGACCCAACACAAAUGGUUCCCAGUUUUUCAUCUGUACUGCCAAGACUGAGUGGUUGGAUGGCAAGCAUGUGGUCUUUGGCAAAGUGAAAGAAGGCAUGAAUAUUGUGGAGGCCAUGGAGCGCUUUGGGUCCAGGAAUGGCAAGACCAGCAAGAAGAUCACCAUUGCUGACUGUGGACAACUCGAAUAAGUUUGACUUGUGUUUUAUCUUAACCACCAGACCAUUC